UCCCUCUCUAUUCGCUGCAAUACGUCCUUCUCUUCCUCUCGUUCUCACUGCAAGUCAGUCCUCCUCUCCCUCUGCUUCUCAAUCGCUCUCUCUCUCCCUCUCCUUCGCAUGGGAGAAUCGCUCCUUCUCCUGCUCGGUGCCGCCCAUUCCACCGGCGCCGCUCCUUCCCUCACACGAUGAUGGUGGAAGAAUCUUCUGUUAUCUUCUAGAUACAUUUCGUUCCAGAUCUGUUUCUCCGUUUCCUUCGUUUCACUCGAAGAGCAGAUCGGUGACGAAGAUGAAAACAAAGAAGGUGACCCUCCCUGAGCACGCGACGGCGCGUCCUGUGGCGGCAAUGCGAGGAGUGAACACGGUGGCUAAGGUGGUGCCGCCCGUGCCAUUGCUUGCGCACCAUCUUCCCAACUCGUCCCGACUUGGAAGCUGGUUCCACUUUCUCUCUCUGCUGUGGUUCUGCCUCUCUUUAUUUCCUCGCAGUUGCUGCAUUAUGGAAAAUCGAAUUUAACCGAUGGCAAUACUUGAAAAUGCUGCCAACAAUGGUCAUAGUUUCUGUCUUUCAUUAUGUGUGAUUGGGAGAGGAUCUCAAUCUUAGUGUCUUAUAGACAAAGGUAAUCUCGAGAGUACAUCUUUGAUUUCAUAUUGUUCAUCUCAGGUACUAUAGACCAUUGAGAUGUUACUAGACUAGAGCAUGGCAGCACUGCAAUGGUUUUUAUACACGACACUUGUUUCUUGUUCCUAUAGAUUAGGAUGUCCAAGAAGUUUUUCCUAUUCCUAAAUCCAAUUUGUUAUUUUUCCUCUAGUAGGCAUCCAUAUUUGGUCUUUUUGUUUCAAUUGCUUUCUCAUAUUUUCAUUGUAGCUUACACACAUAAAACUUGUCUAAUGAAGCAGUGUUAUUGAUGUCUUAUUAAUCUACAAACUGUUUGAUGAAAUGCUUGACUGACUUUUUCUCCUUUUUCUUCAUGUUUUUGUUGAAUGUGUGAGUAUCACAAAGCUUGAAAAACGCACGGAGUCCAUAACUGAGGUAGCGCACCAGCCCUCUUUUGAAUUUGUGAAGAGUAAGGCAGGAGGAGAGCGCAUCCAAUAAAUGCUUAGAAUCUGGAACUGAGAUAUUCCGCCUGGUUGGGGGACUUUUGGGUUCUGGAUACUGAUAUAUGGCAAUGGUCUGAAUUAACUAGCUUUGGUGACUUGCCUUCAUCGAGGGAUUUCACUGCAGCUUCAGCAAUUGGAAACCGGAAAAUUGUUAUGUGUGGUGGAUGGGAUGGAAAAAAGUGGUUAUCUGAUGUUUAUGUCAUGGACACAAGUAUUUUAAGGAGGAGGUGGACCAAUUAUGGGCGAUUUAUGGGCAUUGAAGGGCCUUAUUGAAGAAGGCAAAUGAAAAACUUAGAGGAUGAUGCUUAUAGCUUUGGAUUCAUACUACUUGAGGCACGUGUUGGACCCUCAGUAUCUGCUAAAAGAGAAGCAAGUGUGCUCAGUGCCACGGAACGUUGUUGAGGAAUUAAGUUCCCCAUAAUACUAUGAUAAUUUUCCCUGCUCAUGAUAAACAUAGGUAUAAAUGAGAUCUGUUGAGGCACAUACAACAAUGUUAAAGGAUAAGAAACAAUGUCAUAGAUAAAUAUGUUUGAUUGGAAAAUUGUUUAUUGAGAUGCGGGUUAAUAUAGUAAGAAAGUGGAUAUGGAGUUGUAGAAGUGGAAUGAUUUUUACUUUUUACUCAUGAAUUUAAUUUUUUAUUUUUGUGUCAUGAUUAGAUACUUUGAUGUAGAAUUUUAAUCCAAUUUUGAAGGUUAUAAAUUUUUUAGUGAUGAUGAGGCUAUUCGUGGUUUGGCGGAGGAGCUUAGAGAGAAUUGGCCUGUUAGCUUGUAGGUGUUUGAUGUCGGUUUGUUGGGUUUUGUGCUGGUUUUGUCUGUUGGUUUGGGCUCAUGCUACUGUUAGCUUUUGGUCCAGCACUCUUUUUCCUCUCUUGGAUUUUUCCCACUGGGUUUUCCCUUGAGAGGUUUUAAUGAGGCUGGCCAUGUGGGGGUUUUUUAUUUGCAAUUGUAAGCCCUUUAUUACCUAUCUUGCCAACUAUGAGAGGGUUGUUCUCAUAGAUUCUUCUAUUAAUAAUAACUAUCUUUUGCUCUCAAAAAAAAAAAAUUU